UAAAGGCUCAUUACAUGCUAAUGACUGUUCAGUCUUCGGACUAAAUUGUGAUGAAAUACAGGCACUCACAAAACGUUACCAGAACACCUCUGCAGAGACGCUUAAUGGAGUUAUAAUAAAAGUAAUGAAAAAAAAGUGCAAAAAGUGGUGAAUGACCAGAAAAAGUUGAUAACAUAAAAAUCUUCAAUCUUUUAAAUUUUACUGGGAGAAAACUGAUAAUAUUUGUGUAAACACAGAAAGUGACCUGCAACUCAUGUAAAUUCUCAUUACUAAGUAAGAGGAGAAAGUUGGAAAAUGUGCAUAAACCUGAAUUUUUCAUAAGCAGUAUCUGAAGACAUAAUAGAAGAGAAAUAGGUCCUCGUAGUUUUUUGUAAUACCUAUGAAGGAAAUGUAAAUUUCAAUUAAAACAUUCUCACAAAAUAAA